rnacentral:rRNA from 1 species
UAAUACGAAGGGUGCAAGCGUUACUCGGAAUUACUGGGCGUAAAGCGUGCGUAGGUGGUUUGUUAAGUCUGAUGUGAAAGCCCUGGGCUCAACCUGGGAAUUGCAUUGGAUACUGGCAGGCUAGAGUGCGGUAGAGGAUGGCGGAAUUCCCGGUGUAGCAGUGAAAUGCGUAGAGAUCGGGAGGAACAUCUGUGGCGAAGGCGGCCAUCUGGACCAGCACUGACACUGAGGCACGAAAGCGUGGGGAGCAAACAGGAUUAGAUACCCUGGUAGUCCACGCCCUAAACGAUGCGAACUGGAUGUUGGGAGCAACUAGGCUCUCAGUAUCGAAGCUAACGCGUUAAGUUCGCCGCCUGGGGAGUACGGUCGCAAGACUG